rnacentral:rRNA from 1 species
CGGGUGAGUAAUACAUAAGUAACCUGCCCUAGACAGGGGGAUAACUAUUGGAAACGAUAGCUAAGACCGCAUAGGUACGGACACUGCAUGGUGACCGUAUUAAAAGUGCCUCAAAGCACUGGUAGGGGAUGGACUUAUGGCGCAUUAGCUGGUUGGCGGGGUAACGGCCCACCAAGGCGACAAUGCGUAGCCGACCUGAGAGGGUGACCGGCCACACUGGGACUGAGACACGGCCCAG